CAAGGGUUGUGCGUGCAUAGACAGGAGGCGGAGAGUUGGUAUGCUCUCCUUACUGUUUGGCUGUAAAAAGUAGUGCAAAACUUCUUGCCCGGGAAGGAGAAGCGCUCGCCUUACUACACAUCAGCAGAUUAGAGGUUUAAUCCAAGAAGGGGAUCCAAGAUAAGGAAAUAGACGGAGUGCCGUUGUUUUACAGUCCAGAAAGAAAAUAGGGAUCAAGAGACCAACCUUGUCGGUGAAAACCAAACAUAAGCCAGGGGAGAGGAUGGGCAAGGAGGACAGGCUGCUGCAGCGAUACUGCAGAGCUGCCACUGGCCAAGGGCCCAGCAUAGGAAGCGGGCAUCACAGGUCUCUGCCUGGUGAAGGAAGGGACCAUCAUCCAAGGUGACGCAUAAUGUGAGGAAUAACAAGAAGAGAUGAAAGGGGAGCAAAGAUGAGAGGCCAGAGGAUGGAAAGACAGCAAGCAUUACAUGAUUGCUAGACAAGGGAUAGAAGAAUUUUGUGUGGCUUCUGAACAUAAAUUAACUAUUAUGGUUGUGCAGAGUCUCUCUUCUUUAGUGAAUUCCCCACUGUUUUUGCCUAGUGCUCGUGGGCAGGCAGUGGCAUGGA